CCCAUGCCAGGGCAACGUGGCUACUGGUCCCACUCUGCCCCAGGCUCCUGGGGACCCAUCUUGCUUUCCUGGUUAGAAUACAAGCAACAUCUAUAUAUUGCAACCAAGCCAAGUCAUUUAAGCCUCAUGAGAGCACCUGGCUCAAAGGUUUAUUAUCUGUUCUGACUCACAUUAUGAGGAGACUGAGGCAUAAAGCAUUUAAGCAACGUGUUCAGGAUCAGCUAGCUGGUGGAUCCUGGGCUGCCUCCGCCCCUUGGCCAGCGUGAACAAUGCUGCUAUGAACACGUGUGUACAACUAUCUUCGAGACUCUGCUUUCAAUCUUUUGGCCAUAUCCCCAGUGCGCUUGCUGGAUCAUAUGACAGACCUUUCUUGCCCAGCAGCCUGCAAGAUCUCUGGGGAAUGGGUCCGCACUCUGGACCUCUCUCAACAUUGUGCACACGGCAGGUGCCCAACAGCUGUUUGUCUGCCACAGGCUGGGUUCCAGAAAGAAGAGGAGGGGGUCGCAAACUACAUCAAAAAGAGGAGCCAGUUCUCCACCCCACCCUCCAGCACAGCCCAGCUCCCUGGCUACUGCCCAAG